rnacentral:snoRNA from 1 species
AUGAUGAUAUUUUCAGUGAUCAUUUCUACAAUUCAUUUCUAGAGAAGUAUUUCUGAUCAUGUAGAGUACUGGAAACCAUGAGGAAACAUAACAUGAUCACAUGAGUGUAAAGUUGGCUGUUAGUGCUACUGUGUUGCAGCUGCCAUCUGCCAUUGAUGGUCAUUCUUCUUGACCUUUGGAGGAGCCAGAGGGUGAGGCUAUCAUCUGAGUGGC